rnacentral:rRNA from 1 species
GACGAACGCUGGCGGCGUGCCUAAUACAUGCAAGUUGAGCGAUGAAGAUUGGUGCUUGCACCAAUUUGAAGAGCAGCGAACGGGUGAGUAACGCGUGGGGAAUCUGCCUUUGAGCGGGGGACAACAUUUGGAAACGAAUGCUAAUACCGCAUAACAACUUUAAACAUAAGUUUUAAGUUUGAAAGAUGCAAUUGCAUCACUCAAAGAUGAUCCCGCGUUGUAUUAGCUAGUUGGUGAGGUAAAGGCUCACCAAGGCGAUGAUACAUAGCCGACCUGAGAGGGUGAUCGGCCACAUUGGGACUGAGACACGGCCCAAACUCCUACGGGAGGCAGCAGUAGGGAAACUUCGGGAAUGGACGAAAGUCUGACCGAGCAACGCCGCGGGAGGGAAGAAGGUUUUCGGGUCGUAAAACUCUGUUGGUAGGGAAGAACGUUGGUGAGAGUGGAAAGCUCAUCAAGUGACGGUAACUACCCAGAAAGGGACGGCUAACUACGUG